GGGCCCGCACAAGCGGUGGAGCAUGUGGCUUAAUUCGAUGCAACGCGAAGAACCUUACCAGGGCUUGACAUGACCAGGACCGCGGCGGAAACGUCGCUUUCCCGCAAGGGACCUGGCCACAGGUGCUGCAUGGCUGUCGUCAGCUCGUGUCGUGAGAUGUCGGGUUAAGUCCCUCAACGAGCGCAACCCCUGUGAAUAGUUGCCAGGGACCGGGCAACCGGUUCGGCACUCUGUUCAGACUGCCCGUGAUAAGCGGGAGGAAGGUGGGGAUGACGUCAAGUCAGUAUGGCCUUUAUGCCCUGGGCUGCACACGUGCUACAAUGGCCGGUACAGAAAGUCGCAAUUCCGCAAGGAGGAGCUAAUCUCGAAAACCGGCCCCAGUUCGGAUUGAAGGCUGCAACUCGCCUUCAUGAAGCCGGAAUCGCUAGUAAUGGCGCAUCAGCUACGGCGCCGUGAAUACGUUCCCGGGCCUU
rnacentral:rRNA from 1 species